UUUAAAAAUUAAUACUUUAAAAAAAAAUCACGGGACGGGUAAAGAAAUUACAGAACGGGUUUUAUUUUGGAAUUGAGUUAUAUGGUGGUUGUAUUUGAAUCAAUAUUUAUAAAAUUUUAAAAUAUU
rnacentral:sRNA from 1 species